CGUAGGAGGCGAGCGUUAUCCGGAUUCACUGGGCGUAAAGCGCGUGCAGGUGGUUCGGUAAGUUGGGCGUGAAAUCUCCCGGCUCAACUGGGAGAGGUCGUUCAAUACUACCGAACUUGAGAGCAGAAGAGGAAGAUGGAAUUCCCGGUGUAGUGGUGAAAUGCGUAGAUAUCGGGAGGAACACCAGUGGCGAAGGCGAUCUUCUGGUCUGUUUCUGACACUCAGACGCGACAGCUAGGGUAGUAAACGGGAUUAGAGACCCCGGUAAUCCUAGCCGUAAACGAUGUGAACUUGGCGUUGGUGGGUUAAACUCCAUCAGUGCCGAAGCAAACGCGAUAAGUUCACCGCCUGGGGACUACGGCCGCAAGGUU
rnacentral:rRNA from 1 species